GAUGAAGAACGUAGCGAAAUGCGAUACUUGGUGUGAAUUGCAGAAUCCCGUGAACCAUCGAGUCUUUGAACGCAAGUUGCGCCCGAAGCCAUUAGGCCGAGGGCACGCCUGCCUGGGCAUCACACGUCGUUGCCCCCCCAUCUACUCCUUCGGGAUUGCGGGGGGCGGAUGAUGGCCUCCCGUGCGCCUCGUCGCGCGGUUGGCAUAAAUGCCAAGUCCUCGGCGACGCACGCCACGACAAUCGGUGGUUGCGAAACCUCGGUUGCCCGUCGUGUGCGGUCGUCGCGCAUCGAGGGCUCGAAAAAAUUGCCGAGUUCCGGCUCGGCUUUCAACGCGACCCCAGGUCAGGCGGGGUUACCCGCUGAAUUUAAGCAUAUCAAUAAGCGGAGGA
rnacentral:misc_RNA from 1 species